rnacentral:lncRNA from 1 species
CCCAGCCUGCUGAUUGGUGGAGGUAGAUCCCGCCUCCUUCCAUCCUGAGAUAGGGAGAGAAGGGAGCUGACCAGGGCGCUAGAGCCUGGAUGUGCUGGUGGACCAGUGAAGUGGAUCUCUCUCAGAUCUGACUGAGCCCUGGAGCUCCAUCCUUCAGGACGGGCAUCCAUCUCGGCAUUUCUUCCCAUAGCCCCAGCCCCCCGGUGUCUCUUGCAAAUGGUGGUAUCUCCAAGGAGUGCCCCUAGGCCACGGCUAAGCCAAGAGCUAAGCCUGGAUCAGGGACUGAGCAUACCCACAGCUUGAGAUGAGAAGGCUGAGGCUUAGAAAGGUUGACUUUGGUCACCAGCUGGGUAAGCGACAAAGGCAGGCUCUGUACCUAGCCUUGUGGACUCCAAGGACUCCUGACUAAGCAUCUCAGGAAAUCAGUGAGUGGCAGCAGCAGAGGCCAGGGCCAUGCCGCAUUUUCUGGACUGGUUUGUGCCCGUCUAUCUCAUGAUCUCCAUCCUCAUCCUGGUUGGUUUCGGGGCCUGUAUCUACUACUUCGAGCCCGGUUUGCGGGAAGCCCACAAGUGGCGAACACAGAGACCCCUGCUGGACCGGAACUUUCGCAAGACCCUGAUGAUCCAGGACAACCUGGCAUUUGGGAGCCCCGAUGUCUGAUGGGUCUGGGGCCGAGACAGAUGGGGGGACAGGGAUCCCUGCCUCGGGGUCUGGUCCUGUGCUAGCAGCCUCUAAAGCCACACCCUUGCCGGUCCUGCUCCCAGCUCCCUGCCUCUGCCUCAGUGACCCUUUCUAAUCGCAGGAGUGAGGUUUGGCCUUCAAUCGGUCACUUACUCCCCUGGAUGCUGCAGCAUCGGCCACCCAGCUAAGGCCCCGCACUCUUUGCCAGCCCAGGAUCCCCCCAGAGCGGGAGGCAAACUGCCAGCCCCACUCUGAGGCCUGAGGUCCCCAGGCUUGGCCAGAGCUGCCGUUUCUUCUCCUCUCUGUCUCUUCUUGCUAGCUCAAGCCAAGAAGCCUCAGGAGGGGAGAAGCAGACGGGCAGGCUGGGGUCCCUCGUGUCCACUCCUCCUCCACUCCCAGAGUCCCACAAGAGGGGGCGACUUCUGGGGAACAAGGACAAGCCCUGCAUCUGCCUUUCGUGCCAACCGAGUGCUGCUGCUGGUUCAUUCUCAAGUAUCUGAGCAUCCCCCACCUCUCGUGCCAAUAGCUUACUCCUCAAAUGGUCCUGUGCUGCCCUGUCUGAACCAUACCUGGGUCCACAUCUCCAGCACCACAGCUCUGCUCACCUGCACUACCACCGACCCCCAGCCCUGCUGCUGCCUCUUGUGGAGAGACUUCAGUCGUGAAUGUGAAAUGUGGCUAUGCAACUUGUCUCCCCUCUCCCUCCCUCCCUCCUCUGUCUGUCUGUCUCUCUCUUUCAUUGUCUGUUAAAAGACGUUAAUAAAUGCCUUCUGGUCCCUCCA